rnacentral:lncRNA from 1 species
AUGACAUCCACUCCAGGGAAAAAACAAACCGAAGAUCCUGUAGGGGCUGAAGAGAUACUGUGUGGACUAGGAGCCUGGAAGACUGAGCAGGAGGUAACACGUCACAGCGAGGGCACACACAGCAGUGUUACACAUGUCAAACAGGACACAGGGGAGGUACAGUGUCACAGCACCCUGUUACACAUGUACAGCAGGACACACGGGAGGUACAAUGUCACAGCACCCUGUUACACAUGUACAGCAAGACACACGGGAGGUACAUCACAGCAGUGUUACACAGGUACAGCAGGACACACGGAGGUACAUCACAGCAGUGUUACACAGGUACAACAGGACACACGGGAGGUACAAUGUCACAGCAGUGUUACACAGGUACAGCAGGACACACGGGAGGUACAUCACAGCAGUGUUACACAGGUACAGCAGGACACACGGGAGGUACAUCACAGCAGUGUUACACAGGUACAGCAGGACACACGGGAGGUACAUCACAGCAGUGUUACACAGGUACAGCAGGACACAGGGGAGGUACAUCACAGCAGUGUUACACAGGUACAGCAGGACACACGGGAGGUACAUCACAGCAGUGUUACACAGGUACAGCAGGACACACGGGAGGUACAUCACAGCAGUGUUACACAGGUACAGCAGGACACACGGGAGGUACAAUGUCACAGCAGUGUUACACAGGUACAACAGGACACACGGGAGAUACAUCACAGCAGUGUUACACAGGUACAACAGGACACACGGAGGUACAUCACAGCAGUGUUACGUUGUGUACAGCAGGACAGAGGGGAAGUACAACGUGCCAGCACCGUUACACAAUACACACCGAGACGCGUGCGCACAGGUCAGGUGUGGGAAGCGUGCAUGGGAGGAGGCCUCCAGCCCCCAAUGGCGUCCGCUCCCGGGGACCGGGGGAGAGCGGUGCUUGGCAGCGUGGACAAGGAGCAGCCUGUGCGUCUCCCGCCGCGGAUCUCUGAAGCAAUGCCCGGUGUGGGGGACCCCCGUGGGGGGGUGUACGUGCAACCUGGACAGUUCAUUCUCUGUGUGGCUAACGGCAGCGGUAACGGCAGUGCCCCGUGGGCCGGAGAGAGGGAAGCUCCCUGUGUGUGGAGUUUUAAACUCUCAGGAGCUCCGGUAAUCCGUGUAAAGCCCAGGCCCCAAGCUCCGCCUCCCUGGGCGUGCGCCAGAGGAGAGCCCUGGCUGGAAAGCAGAGGUGUGAGGCCCUGUCAGCAACCCACAGAACCUUCGACUGAAGUCGACAACCUGCCCCCAGCCCUGUGAGCUUCCUGCUCAGGGCCCCCGGAGACACAGCCGGCACCGCCCCUCCCCUUCCAUUUUACUUCUCAUUCACAAACAAGGUUGUGAAAUCCCGAGUGCGUCUCUGGCUCCAUGAGCGUUCACACUAUUGUAUAGCUAUUACACUUUUCCUGGCUUUCCCCGUGCCUCAGUGUCUCCCUGCGCGGACUCAGUUUCCCCAAGAAUGCAGCUACCGCCUGGCCCCGGCCUGUCCCAGCACUGGCCCAAACACCAGGCCCUGAGCCACCUGCGGAAGCUCCCCUGCCACGCUGCUCCUCCCCUUCAGCAGUCCCAGGUUCAAGGCCACAGGGGGCAGGGGUCACACCUGCGCCCUAUGCCCUAUGCCCCGCACGACAAUGGCUCAGGUCCUCCUGUGUCACCUGUGCUGGCUUUGCUGACUCCUCUGAAGGAAAAGUCCUGUUUAGCAAUGCGGGGGGGGGGGGGAAGGGGAAAGGGAGGGGAAGGGGAAGGGGAAGGUAAACUGAACCAUCUCACAAGGCUCCUCCUCUGGGGUGAGCUCACUCUCCCCCUCAUGGCCUGAUG